rnacentral:rRNA from 1 species
AUUGAACGCUGGCGGCAUGCCUUACACAUGCAAGUCGAACGGUAACAGGUCUUCGGAUGCUGACGAGUGGCGAACGGGUGAGUAAUACAUCGGAACGUGCCCGAGAGUGGGGGAUAACGAGGCGAAAGCUUUGCUAAUACCGCAUACGAUCUCAGGAUGAAAGCAGGGGACCGCAAGGCCUUGCGCUCACGGAGCGGCCGAUGGCAGAUUAGGUAGUUGGUGGGAUAAAAGCUUACCAAGCCGACGAUCUGUAGCUGGUCUGAGAGGACGACCAGCCACACUGGGACUGAGACACGGCCCAGACUCCUACGGGAGGCAGCAGGGGGGAAUUUUGGACAAUGGGCGCAAGCCUGAUCCAGCCAUGCCGCGUGCAGGAUGAAGGCCUUCGGGUUGUAAACUGCUAUUGUACGGAACGAAAAGACUCUGGUUAAUACCUGGGGUCCAUGACGGUACCGUAAGAAUAAGCACCGGCUAACUACGUGCCAGCCGCCGCCGUAAUAC